ensembl:snRNA U1 U1 spliceosomal RNA
ACAGAUAUCUUUUAGCGGAUACCAUGAUCACAAAGGUAGUUUUCCCAGGGCGAGGCAUACACAUUGUACUCCAGAUGUACUAGCCCUGUGAUUUCCCCAAAUUUGGGAAACUUGACUACAUAAUUUGUGGUAGUGGGGGACUUCGUUCAAGCUCUCCCA